rnacentral:rRNA from 1 species
UACAGAGGGGGCAAGCGUUAUUCGGAAUUAUUGGGCGUAAAGGGCGCGUAGGCGGCUUUGCAAGUGGCGGGUGAAAUCCCUCGGCUUAACCGAGGAACUGCCUGUCAAACUGCAUGGCUUGAGACCAGGAGAGGUGAGUGGAAUUCCCAGUGUAGCGGUGAAAUGCGUAGAUAUUGGGAGGAACACCAGUGGCGAAGGCGGCUCACUGGACUGGUACUGACGCUGAGGCGCGAAAGCGUGGGUAGCAAACGGG